UUUUUUUUUUUUUUUUUUUUUUGGUUUUAAGUACUAAGCAGGUUUCAUUCUACACUUGAACUUUACCAACAUAACUUAAUUUAAGUUAUGAUAAUAAUAAAUUUUCUAAAAGUUAUACACAAAACAUGGAAUGAUAAAUAUAAUUAAAAUAUCAUAAUUCACCACAAGUUUUCAUAAAUUCAUUAUAAACAUAAAUAGAUACAAUCCAAAUGUGCACCAAUUAUCACAAAUAAAAACACAAAAAAUAAAUUAAUUAAAUAUUGAAAUUCUUUUACAACCCUUAAAAAAAUCCAUAAAAGAGUUCAAGUUAAGACAAACUAUUUGAAUAGCAAACUUUUAUCAGUGGCAUGAUAAGCAACCACACCACCUUCACAAUUUCAUCAACUUAAGCUGAAAAAGUUAAAAUUUUAUUAUAAAAAUAUAAAUCUAAUUGCUCAAACUAAAAAAAACUAAAAAUUUUUGAAAAACAAAUAUACAGUUAAACACAUAAAAAAUUAAUUGCUACUAAACAUUACUAAUUAACAUGUUAUAUUAAAUUCAAUGAUCCUAUACCAUUAAUUAUUUUAAAUUCAAUUAUCAAUAGCUUCGAUUAUGUGCCAACUACCAUAUUUUUGACCAACCCAAUGUUAUUAUUUGUAAUUCCUACCCAAUUCCUACACGGAUGUGCACUACUUUUGCAAAAAUUUUAUCCUUAAUUAAUCGAAUAAAAAUAAAACAAAAAUGAGGGAAACAUAUGAAAAUUGAGGGGAAAAAGAAGAAAAUGCAAAAAAUCAACUAAAGAUAAUAAUAUAGAAAAAAACCUUGAAAAGAAAAAAAUUAAACUUACUAAAAUGUUGGAAAACAAGAAAAGUUGAAAUUUUCAACUUGUUUACAAUCUGCUAAAGAUAAUAACCAGAUAAUAAUGGUGAAGACUUGAGAAAAUCUUGUUGUGGAUAUUUGGGUUAAAAAUGGUUAAGAAGAAAAAAUUGAAAAAAAAAAAUAAGAGAAGAACCUGAUGUUUUAAUAUAUUUUUUAGUCAAGUAGAAUUCUCAACAAACUUAAGUACAGUCCAGCGGUAAGAUUGUCAUAUUUAAACUUAGAGACCCAGGUUCGAAUCUUAGCUACACCAUUCUUGAUAUUUUGUUGAAGAAUUUAAAAAACCGCCGGUUCACGGUUCUUAACGGUUCGCACGGUUCGUCCGGUUCGUCCGGGUUUCAACGGUUCUCCAUGAACUUCCGGCUUUAGCAUUAGAUCGGACCGGUGACAUGGCCGGUUCGCGGUCCAACCGGUCGAACCGGCCGGUCCGGUCCGGUUCUGAAAACAUUGAUUUUAAUUCGUACAAAGACUAUCGCAAAAUAAGCCUUGGCAAAGUUUCUACAACCAAUAACAAAGACCUUUCCUAACCGGCAAACCACGUGACCCCUCAAGAGUCGGACAACAAUAAAUAAAUAAAUAAAUAAAGACCAAUAGAUUCUUCUGUUCUCUAACCUCACCCAGCCAAGGCAUUAAGUAAAGGUUCUCAUCUUUGCAAACAGCCUAAUUCUCAUUCAAUAUCCUGAACAUAAUAAAUGAAUAAAACUCCUCAACUAUUACACCACAAAGUGACAAAUUGCACCAAUAAGAUCCUAAUACUUUCUUUUGCAACACUAAUUGAAACCCCAAAAUAAUUUUUAGGCCAACCUAAGAAUAGGGAAACCUAUUCUUAAAAUCAUGAUUAGUUAAUUCGAAAUUAGGGUUCAUAUCUACCCCUAUCACUACUCUCAUCCUUCACCAUCCAUCCAACAUUGACAAAAUCGUGUAUGAACUAUGUGAAAAUGACAUGCAGUUUCUAUUUAUUAUGCUUGAAAUCAACAAAAAUAGAGCAAAUUUCAAUUUAUAGAUACCCAAAAGCAUACCUUUUAGUAAUAAAGUAGUGUCAUCAGGUGAUUACUUUAAACCAGCAACCUAUCUCUAGUCUACAAACUGUGAAUUUCACUUUGUCAGUUUCACCGGCGUCACAUCUUUCCUUCUUCUCAGUGGCAUGAAUUUCUCUCCUCUCCUUCUCAUAGCGUUUCCAAGCUGCUAUGCUUCCUAUUUGAAGAGCGCAACUUUUGAAUCUAUUUUUCUUUUUAAAAUUUUUUUUGUUUUAAAUAGUGGACCUUUUUUUUAACGGCGUUUACAUCUAUUUCCUCAUUUUUCACUUUCUUUUCUAUUGCCCUAAACGACAAUAUUCUUUUAAAGUGGUUGCUGGCUUAAUCUAAACCAUCAGUCUACCAACUUUAAAUUCAAGCCAUAAAAUUGUGUCAACUGGAAAGUGCCUCAGAUUGAGAGAGUUUCGGAUCCAUGAAUGAACAACUAGGUAAGAAAUAGAACAAAGGAACAACCAAAGACACAUAGAAGUUUGAAAUUAGCCCCAAGCAAAGAGACAUAUAGUAUUAGGGUUGUGAAUUACCUAUCUUAAAGCUUACUUAAGGAUAUUUUCUUAGGAUUUAAUGCUACUAAUUCUGCUUGUUAUCCCCUCUUCAAAUCUUCUUGAGUCCCGUCCAAUCCUCUCGUUGAUGCUUAAGAUGUCCAACCAGCUUGUACUAAGUAUUUUGUAAUACUGAGCGAAUGUAUCCUUAUAUUAUAUAAGAUUGAGUUUUGGUCAAAUAGGGGGUUGAAUUUCAACCGCAUGAUAGGGGUUUUUUGGGAAUGUGGGAUGUUGUGUGGUUUUCUUAAAACUUUUGGUACAACUGAGGGAAGCAUGUAUUUGGUUAUGUUUACCGAAAUAUCCUUAUUUUGGUACAUUAAAAGUUUUGAUUUAUAUAGGCAUCUGGGUAUUUCUGGAAGAUAAAAUUAUUUUGUAACCAUUUUUGCACCGUGUACAACUCAUAUAUGCUUAUAUGUUGGUAUAAUUACUGGAAUGGUAUUAUAGAUACAUUUAAUUUAAUUGUGGCUUUUAUUGUGCAAUUAAAACAAAGACAUGUUGCUAUAACUACUCGUUUGAGGUUAUUUCUUUGUUUGAAACAACUUGGCUGAUCGUUUCCCAACUCAUAUGAGCUCACGUCUAAAACAACCCAUUCCUUUUCCCAUUUACAUCUAAUUAAAUAGCCAAAAACAUGGGUAUUGAAUGAAUAAACGGCUGAGCAUCGUUAUGGUUGUUUCAAUGCUUCCCCUUUCACCUUCUUCAGUUUCUCCCCUUUCGGCUUCUGGAAUUGGGAUAUUUUUUGCAGCCUUUAUACUAAACAUCUCGGAAUGGUUUUCAGCCGCAGCUAUUCGUGGUGGUUUAGCUUGAGAUUAGAUUUGUUCCUCAAUUUUGUUGUUUAUGUGGGUGGUUCUUGUGGUUUGUAGCAUCAAUGUGUGGUCAGAUCCUAAAUUUGAAACUUUGGUUGUGUAGUUUAGCUGCAAGAUAAAGAUUUUUGCACAGACCCUUUCGGCUUCUGGAAUUGGGAUAUUUUUUGCAGCCUUUAUACUAAACAUCUCGGAAUGGUUUUCAGCCGCAGCUAUUCGUGGUGGUUUAGCUUGAGAUUAGAUUUGUUCCUCAAUUUUGUUGUUUAUGUGGGUGGUUCUUGUGGUUUGUAGCAUCAAUGUGUGGUCAGAUCCUAAAUUUGAAACUUUGGUUGUGUAGUUUAGCUGCAAGAUAAAGAUUUUUGCACAGAAUCGGUGUCCUCUGAGAUUUAACUGGUUUGCUUAUAAUGAUAGGUUCGGAGCAACUUUAAGAAAAAACUUUCCAGGAGGUAUUUGGAACAAGGUCAGCUUUCUAGGGUACUCUAGCUUACUACAUUAAUCCGGUCAUGGUGUGUUUUCUGCUAUAUGAAAUAAGAGAUUCACUUCCUCUUUCCUUUUGGGAAUAGCCAGUAGGAGGACAGAAAUCCAUCGAUGUAAGGCAGGGCAGAAGAACGACUAGGAUCUUAUAGAGUUUUUGGCUUUCAAGCAUUUUUCUCGCUCGUUUUGUUAGAGAAAGUGAAUGGUUUGCUUGAUGAGGGAAGAGAUGAGCUAGCUAUUUGCUUUCUUAGAAAACUAAGCGACUAAUUUACUGUUGAGAGGUCAGAAAUUCCUACAACAAACUCUUUCUUUUUCUUUUAGUGACAUAGUGAACCUUCUUGCUAAAUAAGUAGCCAACAGGGAAUAUCCCUUUAAUGGGAAUACGGCUACCUGCCUUUCUUCCUACGCUGGCUAAGCAAAUUAGUCCUCAACUAAAAAAGGAAGGUUCUACCAGGGUUGGGGUUAGCCAUUCCUGUUAGCCUUGAUGAGCUCCUCUUUGCUUUUAGGUAACUGUAGUCACUUGCUAAUUGAUUAUAAAGGUAAGCUUAUUCACCUUGACUUGUUUUUAUAGUUUACACACUUUUGUAUUGGCGCUUUUUACUUUAUGUAGGAUGAAUCUGAUUAAUUUCCUGAAUCACCAGCAGUUGACUUUGGGCAUUGAGUCCUUACUCCUUUCGACAAGAGCGCUUGCUUCUAUGACACCAUCGCCGGUACCGGCUGCUCCUCCGCACCAUGUCCUGGAUAUGCCAUUUAACAUUUGUACAGCAAACACGUUUUACAUAAAAUAUCAAACUCCAGCUUCUUUAACUAUUUCUUCUCAAAUUAUCUCUCUAAUUAUAGGCACCAAACACUCGCGCGAUGCGCGAGCACUCCCCCCUAGUAUUAAUUAUACUAGAAUGAUGUCCUGAAUUGUGUAUAAGUGGUCUGAAUUCAUUUAUGUCGGUAUUUUGAGAGAUUGGGAUGAUGGGAUCUAUGAGAACUUGUAAACCUUUUGAAAGUUUAAAAUUUUGAAAGCUUUGAAGAUUUUUUCAAAGAUUUUUAGAAAACUCUUACCAAGGAUGGAAAUACUUUCUUUUCAAGAGAGAGAAACUCUCUUUGGAGAGAGAAUCCAUUGUACGACUUAUUUUUGGUCUAGGCAUCAAUAGAAAAAAAACUAUUUUAAAAUUCAGCAGACAAAGAAAAAAAAUUAGGGAAUGAAAAUGCUAAUUGCAAAGACAUAUGAAAUAGAUGAAUUCAACAAAUUAGCCUAAAAUAAAAUCUAAAUACAAGGAGAAAAAAAUAUCAUUGAACAUGAAAGAAAGUGUACAGUUAAGAAUAAGAUGGAGAGCAGUUAAGAUUGAGAAUAUAGAGAAAUGAAACGAAGAAUCAUGGGAUUCAGGAUUUUAGGAUUUGCUUUCUUCUCCAAUAUACUGGAAUUGCUCAAUUCCUGUGGCAUCAACAAAUUUGUUAAUUCUAGCGCUCAGUAAUGGGGAUUACUUUGUUGAUUGGGUCGACGUGAUGAUAAAUUUAUACGGUCACAAUAUACCCUAUGCAUUUAUUGGGUAACUAAUAUAACAUUUGUCCCUGUACUUAAUUUCUUAAUUCAUGCUUUAUUUUAAAAGGCCUCAUUCAGGGAGUGGAACACCCAGUUGCUAUAAUUCUUGUCUAUGUAUAUGCAGAGGAAAACCAUAAAUGUGAACAUGCACGGCAAACUAUGAGCGCUAGGGCGCUAACUCGAAAAAAAUUUUAUUAUGGGGAAAAAAUUAAAGACGUUUCUUGUUCAUAAAAUCAUAUUCACCUCUCAAGAAGGUGCUUAUUAAUUUCCACAAUCUGCCCAUGUAUGCUAAUGCUAGUGAAAAAUGAUUUCUAGUUCAGGUCACUGUUGAAAAUGAUUUCAUAAAAGGGAAAACACUGCAAUUAGAGGUAAAUUAGUGACACGAAAUGGUUUUCUUUUUACUAAAACAAAAAAAAAAGGUACAAAAUAUCUGAAGGUUUUAAUUAAGCAGAUAUUGCGGGCGGUAAGUAUAACUUAAAGAAAGAUAAACGCAGUGAUCAGUACAUAGAAUUUACUCAAUUAAAAGUUUCCUCUUUUCAUUUUACUCAUUUUAGUAAAUGUACUCCAGAUGACAAAAUUUGUGUGUCCUAACUACGUUACCUACUGUAUGAGCUGUAAACUAUUUCUUUACUAGUAUACAACCUCUGACUUAGACGCUCAUGUAAAGUAUUCCAUCAUCUGGUAACAGGAGUUCC
rnacentral:lncRNA from 1 species